UACGGAGGGUGCAAGCGUUAUCCGGAUUCACUGGGUUUAAAGGGUGCGUAGGUGGGAAUGUAAGUCAGUGGUGAAAUCUCCGUGCUUAACACGGAAACUGCCAUUGAUACUAUGUUUCUUGAAUUUUCUGGAGGUUAGCGGAAUAUGUCAUGUAGCGGUGAAAUGCUUAGAUAUGACAUAGAACACCGAUUGCGAAGGCAGCUAACUACAGGGAUAUUGACACUGAGGCACGAAAGCGUGGGGAUCAAACAGG
rnacentral:rRNA from 1 species